AAGACUAUAGACCUGCGGAGUACCUGCGGAGGGAUCAUUACAGAGUUAUCAAACUCCUAAACCCUUUGUUAAUUUACCUAUUUGUUUCUUCGGCAGGUGGUCCCUGGGAGGGUCCUGCAGCCUGUUAAGGUACCUGCCGAAGGUCAUAACUCGGUUUUACAUUAUGUGUCUAAGUCUUACUAUAAAAUAAGUCAAAACUUUUAACAACGGAUCUCU
rnacentral:misc_RNA from 1 species